rnacentral:lncRNA from 10 species
CGGGGCUCACAUCAAUGUCCUCCCAUCUUACCCCUGCCAGUCCCCAGCGCCCAGCACAAGGCUGGACACAGAAAUAAACAUCGCCCUUUGGAAUAAACAAAUGUGAGAGUGACUCCUGACCUGAACAGCCCAGCCCCCUACCCCGGGCCUUUCCCAGCUGUCAUAAAUCUAAUGGCUUUUAUUGCCCUAGGAUUUUUACAGUACCCAUUACCAUAGCAGUUGGGAACUUAAUUGGCAAAAUUAAGGACAUGUACUUAGGAACUUCUAGUAAAUAUUUGCUAAUGGAUUCAUAUUAGCAGGUCCUGCUGGGACAUCUGGUACAGUCAGAACUUGUCUGCCUAAAAACUUGUCCCAAAGCUGGGGGAAGCUGUUUCCUGGCCUGAACUUUCUCUGGGGCUGUGAGAGGCGAGGGCUCAGGAAAAGAUGGUCAGGUUCAGUGGAAUUUGGAUCCUUGAAAGGAAGAAAAGGGUGACGGAAAGGGCAGAGGGAACUGCAACUGGAUCCUAAGCCACCCCGUCUGUGACCUGGGCCUUGUCACCGCAAGGCUCUCGUGUUGGUUGGAACUCCGAGAGCGCCGACAGACAACACGAGGCGGUGUGGAGCGACAGGCUGUUUCAGCGAGCGCCCAGGUGCGGGCGGCUCGAGGCCUAAAAUGGCGUCAGCACCAAAUGAGGGCGGGGCAGGGGUUUUAUGGUCUCCUGGAAACAGGAAGUGUCUCAGUCUGACGUAACUGCUACGCGGUACCCGGAUGGCCUCUCUCCGGGUCUUCGGGGGUGCGCGUCUUCCGGCCGACCCUCCUCCUGCUCCUGCUAUGUUGCUGACCCACGCUGCUGGCGCGAGUGGUCUUGCCCCUCGGGACCCGAGGAGGGAGGAGUUCUUCGUUCCCUUCAGCUUUCAGGCCCCAGGGAGAACCUUUCAGUCACAGGCAGCCUAGGUUCAAGAAGAAGAAAACCUGAGGCCUCGGCUCACCCUGACAGGGAAGUGGCGUGGGGACCGCUAAAGGACUGCGAGGUUCCACUGCCCAGGGCUGUCUAACCGCUUGCUUUAGACUGUGGGUGCACGGAGUCCGUCACUCAGCCUCCAGGACCAGGGCUCCUGAUGUGUGAGCGCGUUCCAUUCCCCCAUUCCCACAAGAACCCUCGCUCCCGCGAAGGCCUCCUGAGCUUGCGCGACUCCGCUGGGCCUUGGAGAGCUCUGGGGAGGGAGGCGCCUCUCCAGCACCCAGAUCCCCAGCCUGCAGCGCCUCGGGGCCAGUGUGGCCCGGAAUGGCAGCUUUGUCACACACUGCCGCUGGAGUGGGACUUGGCGUGGCUUUUCUGGAGGGCGACCUACAUCAAGGGGCAUGCAUGCGCCCUUUGAGCUACAGAUUUCUCAGCUGGGAAUGAAUUAUGAAUGUCCUUUAGCCUUGGCCGAGAGGGUGUACAGCUCUGCAGUGUUCCUGUCGGAAACUGGAAAUAGCCUGA